UCGGGGAGGUAGUGACGAAAAAUAACAAUACGGGACUCAUCCGAGGCCCCGUAAUUGGAAUGACUACAAUUUAAAUCCUUUAAGAAGGAUCCAUUGGAGGGCAAGUCUGGUGCCAGCAGCCGCGGUAAUUCCAGCUCCAAUAGCGUAUAUUAAAGUUGCUGCAGUUAAAAAGCUCGUAGUUGGAUCUCAGUUACGGGCAGGUGGUUCACUUUACAGUGCUACUACCUGAACCGAACCUAUUGCUGGAUCUCUUGGGUGCCCUUCACUGGGUGCCCCUUGAGACCAGAGCGUUUACUUUGAGAAAAUUAGAGUGCUCAAAGCAGGCGAAUGCCUGAAUAGUUGUGCAUGGAAUAAUGAAAUAUGGCCUCGGUACUGUUUUGUUGGUUCACGGUGCUCGAGGUAAUGGUUGAAAGGGACUGACGGGGGCAUUCGUAUUGCGACGUUAGAGGUGAAAUUCUUAGAUCGUCGCAAGACGGACUACUGCGAAAGCAUUUGCCAAGAAUGUCUUCAUUAAUCAAGAACGAAAGUCAGAGGUUCGAAGGCGAUCAGAUACCGCCCUAGUUCUGACCUUAAACGAUGCUAACUGGCGAUCCAGUAGGGGUAUUUAAAAUGACCUGCUGGGCAGCUUCUGGGAAACCAAAGUUUUUGGGUUCCGGGGGAAGUAUGGUUGCAAAGCUGGAACUUAAAGGAAUUGACGGAAGGGCACCACCAGGAGUGGAGCCUGUGGCUUAAUUUGACUCAACACGGGAAACCUCACCAGGCCCAGACACUAGAAGGAUUGACAGAUUGAGAGCUCUUUCUUGAUUUGGUGGAUGGUGGUGCAUGGCCGUUCUUAGUUGGUGGAGUGAUUUGUCUGGUUAAUUCCGAUAACGAACGAGACUUUAGCCUACUAAAUAGAUGGCAGAUACUCAAAAGAGUCUGCAUCGUC
rnacentral:rRNA from 1 species